rnacentral:rRNA from 1 species
GACGAACGCUGGCGGCGUGCUUAACACAUGCAAGUCGAACGGAAAGGCCCUGCUUUUGUGGGGUGCUCGAGUGGCGAACGGGUGAGUAACACGUGAGUAACCUGCCCUUGACUUUGGGAUAACUUCAGGAAACUGGGGCUAAUACCGGAUCGGAGCUCCUGCUGCAUGGUGGGGGUUGGAAAGUUUCGGCGGUUGGGGCUGGACUCGCGGCUUAUCAGCUUGUUGGUGGGGUAGUGGCUUACCAAGGCUUUGACGGGUAGCCGGCCUGAGAGGGUGACCGGCCACAUUGGGACUGAGAUACGGCCCAGACGCCUACGGGAGGCAGCAGUGAGGAAUAUUGCACAAUGGGCGGAAGCCGGAUGCAGCAACGCCGCGUGCUGGAUGACUGCCUUCGGGGUGUAAACCGCUUUCGCCUGUGACGAAGCGUGAGUGACGGUAAUGGGUAAAGAAGCACCGGCUAACUACGUG